rnacentral:lncRNA from 1 species
GCUUAAAUGCAGUUUUGGCCCCUCAAGUUUCACAAUUGCUUGAUUUUGGCCCCCCACAUUUCAAUUGCUUGAUUUUAACCCUCUAAGUUUCACAAUUGCUUGAUUUUAGCCCUUCAAGUUUCAAUUGCUCGAUUUUGGCCCCCCAAGUUUACCCCCUUUUGCAUUUGCUAGUCCCCCGUUGACUUUUUUGACUAUAAAUU